CUUCCGGACUGAGUUCACUAAAAUGGCAUUUUUCCACCUAGUUUUUGGUUUGCUCUGCAAAGCCCUUCUUGUCCUGUUCUCUCUCCUCUUCAUUGCCUUUCUGGGUUACUGCUUGUACAUUAAGUACAUUCAUAUGAAAUAUGACCACAUACCAGGGCCACCAAGGGACAGCUUCUUUUUUGGCCAUUCACCAACACUUCUGAAGAUAAUGAAAAAAGAUGGCUUAGUGCAUGACAAAUUCCUAGAAUGGUCUGAGACUUACGGACAUGUUUGUAGGAUAAAUCUUCUGCACUAUGUCAGUAUAUGCAUCACGUGUCCAGAAGCAACAAAGGUAAAUAUGUC